UACGGGGGGGGGGCAAGCGUUGUUCGGAAUUACUGGCGUAAAGGGCUCGUAGGCGGCCCAACUAAGUCAGACGUGAAAUCCCCUCGGCUUAACCGGGGGAACUGCGUCUGAUACUGGAUGGCUUGAGUGUGGGAGAGGGAUGCGGAAUUCCAGGUGUAGCGGUGAAAUGCGUAGAUAUCGGGGAGGAACACCUGUGGCGAAAGCGGCUCACUGGACCAUAACUGACGCUGAUGCACGAAAGCUGGGGGGAGCAAACAGG
rnacentral:rRNA from 1 species